AAUCAACGCUGGCGGCGUGCCUAACACAUGCAAGUCGCACGAGAAAGGGGAGCAAUCCCUGAGUAAAGUGGCGCACGGGUGAGUAACACGUGAAUCAUCUACCUCCGAGUGGGGAAUAACUGAGAGAAAUCUUAGCUAAUACCGCAUAACACUUACGAGUCAAAGCAGCAAUGCGCUUGGAGAGGAGUUCGCGGCCGAUUAGUUAGUUGGCGGGGUAAUGGCCCACCAAGACGAUGAUCGGUAUCCGGCCUGAGAGGGCGCACGGACACACUGGAACUGAAACACGGUCCAGACUCCUACGGGAGGCAGCAGUGGGGAAUUUUGCGCAAUGGGGGAAACCCUGACGCAGCAACGCCGCGUGGAGGAUGAAGUAUCUUGGUACGUAAACUCCUUUCGAUUGGGAAGAUAAUGGCGGUACCAAUAGAAGAAGCCCCGGCUAACUUCGUGCCAGCAGCCGCAGU
rnacentral:rRNA from 1 species